GAGUUUGAUCUUGGCUCAGAUUGAACGCUGGCGGCAUGCCUUACACAUGCAAGUCGAACGGCAGCACGGGAGCUUGCUCCUGGUGGCGAGUGGCGAACGGGUGAGUAAUGCAUCGGAACGUAUCCUGGAGUGGGGGAUAACGUAGCGAAAGUUACGCUAAUACCGCAUAUUCUGUGAGCAGGAAAGCGGGGGACCUUCGGGCCUCGCGCUCUUGGAGCGGCCGAUGUCGGAUUAGCUAGUUGGUGAGGUAAAGGCUCACCAAGGCGACGAUCCGUAGCAGGUCUGAGAGGAUGAUCUGCCACACUGGAACUGAGACACGGUCCAGACUCCUACGGGAGGCAGCAGUGGGAAUUUUGGACAAUGGGGGCAACCCUGAUCCAGCCAUGCCGCGUGAGUGAAGAAGGCCUUGGUU
rnacentral:rRNA from 1 species